rnacentral:rRNA from 1 species
GACUUGACAGACCGCCUGCGUGCGCUUUACGCCCAGUAAUUCCGAUUAACGCUUGCACCCUCCGUAUUACCGCGGCUGCUGGCACGGAGUUAGCCGGUGCUUCUUCUGCGAGUAACGUCAAUCGACAAGGUUAUUAACCUUAUCGCCUUCCUCCCCGCUGAAAGUACUUUACAACCCGAAGGCCUUCUUCAUACACGCGGCAUGGCUGCAUCAGGCUUGCGCCCAUUGUGCAAUAUUCCCCACUGCUGCCUCCCGUAGGAGUCUGGACCGUGUCUCAGUUCCAGUGUGGCUGGUCAUCCUCUCAGACCAGCUAGGGAUCGUCGCCUAGGUGAGCC